UACGUAGGUGGCAAGCGUUGUCCGGAUUUAUUGGGUUUAAAGGGUGCGUAGGCGGCCUUGUAAGUCAGUGCUGAAAUAUCCCGGCUUAACCGGGAGGGUGGCAUUGAUACUGCAGGGCUUGAGUAAAGUUGAGGUUGGCGGAAUUGACGGUGUAGCGGUGAAAUGCUUAGAUAUCGUCAAGAACACCGAUAGUGAAGACAGCUAACUAAGCUUUAACUGACGCUGAGGAGCGAAAGCGUGGGGAGCGAACAGG
rnacentral:rRNA from 1 species